GUAGGUGAACCUGCGGAAGGAUCAUUCAUAAUUGAAUAAUGUUAUUCUAGAAUUAAAGUUCAAAAAGAAGGAAACUUCUUUUUUGUUUACCUAUUCUUAGGUCUUUAAUGUUAAUUAAUUUAAACCUAAAUAUCUUAAAUUUUCAACGAUGGAUAUCUAGGCUCCUAUAACGAUGAAGAACGCAGCGAAAUGCGAUACGCAAUGCGAAUUGCAGAACCGUGAGUCAUCAGAUUUUUGAACGCAAGUGGCGAUAGCUUCGGCUAUCAUGUGUGCUUCAGUGUGUUCGGUUAAUUACAUCGUAGAAUUUAAUGUGAUUGAAGAAAUUCUCUCACUGAAUACGAAGUAAUGUCAGUUAAAUACAUUAAAUGAGCUAGUCACUAAAUUGGUGAUAAUCGUUUAAGUUGAAUUUAACUGUAAAUCAUUACUUAAUAAAAAAUUAUCCAAUCAUAACACCUGAAACAGGCAAGAAUACCCGCUGAACUUAAGCAUAUCAGUA
rnacentral:rRNA from 1 species